UGUUACACAAAAACAGUGAAUGGUUGAAUCAAGUGAGUUGUGUUCAGACUGUGGUAAAACUACAGUAAGUUUAACUCCCAUCUUGAUGUUUUCUACGGAGACAUUGAAUGACAAACACAUCUGUGUUGUGGACCAAAAAAAAGCAAGCCACUCCUAAACAGAACCUCUGAUCACCACUAUUGCUGUGGUAAAAAACAGUAUCACAGCACAACUCAAAGCUGCUGUAACGUAAAAGGAAGUCUUGGUGAGUUACAAGAACCAAACACAUUGUGUUUAUUAUUGUCCAUAAUUGUUUUUGCUGCUUCGCACCAGAUUCCAGAGAGAUUGUGACCUCUGAACUCAUUUAACCAGACAUUAUGUACAAACGUGUCACAGUGUCGUGAGUUUAAAUAGUAACAUUAACAUUAGUUACAGUAGCAAUAUGUUCAGAUUGAGGUAGAAGUGAGUUUAACUCCCAUCCUGAUCUUUUCCACAGUGAUAUUAAAUGACAACGGACAUCUGUGUUGUGGACCAAAAGAUAACAAGACAGUCCUCAACAGAGCCUCUGAUCACCACUAUUGCUGUGGUAAAGAACAGUAUGACAACAGAAAUCAAAGAUGCUGUCACGUUAAAGGAAGUCUUGGUGAGUUACAAGCAUAUUGUAUUUAUUGUUGUCCAUAAUUAAUUAAUGCCACAAUUAAACACUGAUGUCUAUACCAAAACCUGAUCUUAAUUUACUGACAUGAGCAUUUAAACUCAAAAAUUCAAACAGUGAAGUUCAGCUUUUGGGUUUAGAGGAGAUUUAACUGUGUUUAAUGAAGUCUUAGAACCAGAUUCUAGAGACAGAGUGCGACCUUUGAACUCAAGUAAACAGACCUUAUGUACAAACGUGUCACAAUUUCGUCAGCUUAAAUAGUAACAUUAACAUUAGGUAGCAACAUGUUCAGACUGAGGUAGAAGUGAGUUUAACUCCCAUCCUGAUCUUUUCUACAGAAAUACUGAAUAACAGCAAACAGCUGUGUUGUGGACCAGAUUAUGACAAGACCGUCCUGACCAGAACCUCUGAUCACCACUAUUGCUGUGGUAAAGAACAGUAUGACAACAGAAAUCAAAGUUGCUGUCACGUUGAAGGAAGUCUUGAAAUAUUGAAUGACAGCAAACAGCUGUGUUGUGGUCCAAAAGAUAACAAGACAGUCCUGGACAGAACCUCUGAUCAUCACUAUUGCUGUGGUAAAGAACAGUAUGACCACAGAAAUCAAAGUUGCUGUCACACUGAAGGAAAUCUUGGUGAGUUACAAGAAUCGAACAUAUUGUAUUUAUUAUUGUUUAUAAUUAUUAAUGCCACAGUUAAACACGGAUGUCUAUACCAAAACCUGAUCUCAAAACCUGAUUUACUGACAUGA
rnacentral:lncRNA from 1 species